ACAAAAGGUGGUCGCAAUUCGUCGUAUGAGCAGUCAAACAACACAUUACUUAUAAGCACAUGACUUUAAAGUUAUUAAAGGACUUUAAAUGAGGGUCUGCGACAUUCUGCUAAUUUAGUGUCAGGAUAUACAGUACUGUGCUGGUUUGGACCAGUAGCCGGACAGAUUUUCAUAAUCAAAUUAUGGAGCAUAAUUUGUCGCAUCAAACAUCACUAAACAUUUCCAGGUCAACAACAUACUUUAUCACCUUCAACAUGGCUUCAGGUCAAAACGGUCAUGCGAAACUCAACUAUUAGGACUUGUCGAGGACCUAUCCAGGAAUUUAAUUCAAGGUCACCAAACAGACUUAAUACUCCUCGACUUCUCAAAGGCGUUUGAUAAGGUUAAUCACCUAAAGUUACUAUACAAGCUGCACCAACAUGGCAUCCAGGACUGUACACUACAGUGGGUCAAAUCCUUUCUCAUCGGUCGCCGUCGGUCCGUCUUAGUCAAUGGUGAUAAGUCGGAUGAGGUCCCGGUCACAUCUGGUGUCCCACAGGGCUCUGUCCUCGGCCCUCUUCUCUUUCUGCUAUACAUAAACGACCUGCCUGAAAAUAUUGUUUCACAGGUCCGGUUAUUUGCUGAUGACACUGCUGUUUGUAUCACAGUCAACAAUGUUACACAACAACAUACUCUGCAAGAGGACUUAAUCAGGUUACAAAAAUGGGAACACACAUGGGACAUGGAAUUCAACCCAUCCAAAUGUACAGUGAUUAAUAUUUCCAAGUCUAAACAUCCUUACAAAUCCACUUAGACACUACAUGGGCAGACUAGCAACCGUGAGUGAUGCAAAAUACCUUGGUGUUAGCAUCACUUCAGAUCUAAACUGGAACAAACACAUAAACCAGGUCACUACAACAGCUGGUCAAACACUUAACUUCAUUAAGCGCAAUAUUCCCUCCAAACAGCAAAAUAUUAGGGAAUUUGCCUACAAAACCCUUGUUAGACCACAACUAGAGUACUGCAGCUCAGUGUGGAGUCCACAUACACAGCUGAACAUACAUAAAAUUGAGAUGGUCCAACGCAGGGCCGCUCGAUGGGUCAUCAGUGACUAUUCAAACUACAGCAGUGUCACACACAUGUUAAAGCAAUUGGGGUGGCGUUCCCUUGAAAACAGAAGAAAUGAUGCCUAGGAUACUGAUGUUUUACAAGAUUGUCCAUGGACUGGUUGCAGUGCCAAGUGCCAUCUUAUGUUUUACCUCCUACACGGCUCACUAGACACAUGCAUUCCCUAUCUUUCCGGCAAAUUCAAACACCCUAUCAUGCUGCAGUGAGAAACCAAGAAAUUCCUAUUGUUGUGUGCCAUUGAGUGUCAUGGAAAAAGGAUAUGGAUUCAGGGAUAAGGAUGUGUGAAGCUGCAGGAAAGCAAGCUGGAAGCUAUAUACCCAGAAUUCCAGGAGAAUAGGGGCUGUAGGUCUGUGAAGGGUAUUGUUAUGAGAUGUAGGGAGUUGCUCAACAGAUUGAAUUGUUAAUUGUGAAAUAGCAGUGAGGCAGAAUGGCUACAAAACAUAGACUUCAAAAGAGAAGGCCUGUAUUCUACAUGCUGUAUUGAGGGAACAAUAUUGGAUUUUCAGAUUUUAUGCAAAUGAUAGAAAACAUUUAACAAGUUUAUACUGGGUACUGAACAAUGUGGCAUACAGAAGUUUGGAUUGUUUUGGCUGGAUAGUUUGUACAGUAUGGUGAAACUAGAGGAUGAAAGCUCACAUACAAGUAGCAAGUCCUCAGUUUCUAGUUAGGAUGAGUUGACAGUGUUUGUGCAAGGGAAUACCUUGUCAACGUUUAUGAUUGGUCAAUGUCAUCUGAAUGUGUCUAGCAACACAGUCCAAAGAAUACAGGAACUUCUCACCGCUGCAUACAACUAUGACUAUGAACCUUACUCGAAACCCCAUAAAGAACAAAUCUCAACAAGCUACAGUAUUACAUCGGUGUUUGGUCUGCAGAUAACAAGUCAGCAGUUUGACCUCCAGAUCACGUCACCAGUGUACCCUCGUAAAUUGGUACAGCUUGUGAGCAAGAUAGCAGGUCCGUCUAGCAACCUACUGCAUCACUGCCACUUACACACUCAGAUGAAGAUGGUGGAUCAGAGCAUGCUGUGAUAGAAAUGACGUUGUCAGGAUUUGAGAUGAAGACAUAUAGGAAUGAUAUGGUGACAGUGCUCAGCAACAGUCUCCUCUCUACACACACUUCUCUAUAGAUACGAUGGACAGAAUAACUAGUGUUACACCAAUAUUUUCAUGUCCAUGUAAAACAAAUGGUAUGCAUACAAUUGAUUGGUUGAUUAGAGAGAACUCUUCCAGGUGGGAGGAAGUUGAAAAUGACUGCCUAGUGUUUACUUACCUGUUACCUCGGAAAUAUGUUCAAGUUCAAGCUACAGCUAUGGUGUUAAUGAAUGUUGAGGGUAAAGCUGUAAGCUUGAGCCCAGUCCUGACCUGGUUCAGGUACAAGCCUGUAACCAGAACAGUACAGUCCAGGGAAACAAAAAUAGAACUAGACUUAGAACUAGCCAAGAUGGCAACCCACUACAGACAAACCUUUCAUAAGUGUCUGUACCCUCCAGUGGAUCAAAGAGACAGACUUUGAGCCUCACAAGGAGUCGUACAUCUGGGCAGCAGUCAACGGUGCCAACUGGGAACCAGGAUCUCAGGACCUGCCAAUAGCAAAAAACAGUCUGGUAUCAGAGAAAAGCUUGCAAGCAUAUUUCCAUUGAUCAAAGUCCUUCAGGUGCAGGUAAAAUUAUACUGAAAAUUGAAACACCUGUAAGACUGAAUGUUUCAUUUCCAAGGAUAAGGCAAGUUGAAGAGUACCAUAAGACUGUGUUACCAAGGAAACAGAAGAAAUUUGAUAGAACAAGAUCUCCUAAAACAACUGGUAGUGAAUCAGUUGGUACUCUCAGUGAGAUACACAGUACAUGUAUCUCGUUGACAUCAUACAUGAGAGACUUGUUUGUGAAGACAGUGUUUGAAAGUAGAUCGCUCAGCAUGAUACGCUCCUGUUGCCAGAAAGUGAUUGUACAUACACACAUAUUUCAAGAGAUGAUUACGACUUCCUGUCCCAGUGUGUGCCGAUCAUUUGAUGGAGUUUUAUAAGGAACUAAUGACAGAGUCGAACACAAAGAUGAAACAUAACAGCUAUAUUGAGCCUAGAAGCACCAGUGCAGGGUUGUGAUCCCAUGAUUGGCUAUCUCCACACUGAGAUGACUAGACUGCUUGGAAAGUUGAUUAGGCACUUCACUACCACGAAAGUUAUUUGUGAUGCAACAGAUCUCACCAAGGCAUCCUUUCAGGUCUGGUACCCUUCCAGGUCUGGGACAACCAACAUGAUGAUGAGAGACUAGUUGUUUGGACAACAAUGAUGUAUCACCAGAGAUAACAAAGAAUUCUUCAGUGAUGUGAGGGUCUUCUAUGAGAAUAUGGUAGUUACUAAGGUUACCAAGUUCCCAUUUGAAGAUGCUACCCUUCAGCCACUGAGCUUCCUGAAACCAGAACUAAGGGAUACUGUCUCACUGGAAAAAGUUGCCAUCUGUUUGUCCAGUUUGUUGGUGGUUCCCUGGUUGAUGAGUAUGGAGAUUAUCUUCUUACUCCUGAGACUGAACUGCCCAAACCAGAUCAUUUACAUCUAGAGACAUACUGGGUAUCUAACGGGGAAAUGAAGCUCCACACUGGAAAGGAGAGGUUUCAUGAACUGAGUAAGAUGGCAUAACUUCUCCUGUCACUACCACACAGCAAUGCUGAUCCAGAGCCGUCCUUCAGCAUACGGAGGAAGUAAUAUGCUGACAGCAGGAGCAACCUAGCUCUGGAAACCAUCCAGAACUUAAUGUCUGUGAAAAUGAACAAUCACUCUAUAUACUCAACAUUCUCUUCAUCUCAAGAACUUAUUAGAGAGGGGAAGUCAUCGUGUAAUGUAUACACUCGUAAGUGAAGACAGCAUAAAUGAAGUGUUACUUGUUGAAAUACGAAACUGUGCUUUUAGUAUUUUUAUAAAGUGUCUAUGGUUAUGUGGAGACAACUCUACAGGGUUAUCGCGAGUGGGCGACUUGAGCAACAUAGGCGCUUUGGAACUUCAAACUUCGCUCAAAUCUGACCUCAAAGCGAAAUGCAAGUCGCCCGAUUUUCUUUGAUAUCCGCACUCGCUAAUUACCGCUACCCGAACUGUUGACAAUUUGAACGGUGUCAAAAUGAGUGUUGAGUACACAAACACACGCCGAUAGCAUAAUUUAAGCUCCGCCUACUUCAGGUACUUGCGAGAUUUUCCCCGAGAAGUGUGAAAGCGAAUCAAAUUAUCCGAUACAACAGAGUCUAUUGUGUUCAGCCAAUCAGCGCUGCGGUUACAUCUGUGACACUUUGCGUUAAUUGUCAACAUGUUCUGUUGCAAAAAAAUACAAUGUUUUACGAAGAAAUUGCUGAUUAACCAUGCGAUUAAUUGAAGUAUUUUACACAAUUAGUUGUUGUCUAUGGUAAAAGAACGACAUGGAAUGUAACUACGUUAAAUUGACUUUUAUCAAUGAAUUGAUUUGAAUAUGUAUUUCUGAUUUACACAGUUUACUUUCAGUUUUAUUCAGGUGAGAUACUGUUCCGAGUGUUAAUAAUAAACACUUCGUACAAGAUACAGCAAAAAAUCGGCGGGUUAAAUUUACAGCAUUGUCUUGAAUUUUGAAAACUUUUUUUCAGAAAUUUUGUAAUGAAACAAUAACCACUGUAUGGGAAAUGAUCUAACUAAGAAACUGAAUGGUCACAUCAAUGUUUUUUAUCUAGAAACAAGAAAAUUACAGCCACCUUUCGAAUCACACAAUAUCAUUGUGGUAGGAAAAGUCUUCCCACUUCUCACUUAAAUCUCCCCAUUUCUUCCUAAAUCAGCUUCAGGGAGAAGUGACUUCUCCCAAAAAAUUGAACCUAGCUAGACCCCUGCUCUAGUGCUUUGUACUCAUUGUGAUAUCUGGAUAAGAGGACAUCAAUUAUGAAACAGAAAAUUGAUAUUAAUAUGUCAUAUAUAUUGUGUUGUUAAAUUAGUAUAAUGUAUUCUGUUAGUAUUUUGAAGUGAAUAUAUUUAAAAGUAGAAUAAAAGAUAAUA
rnacentral:lncRNA from 1 species